CCUCUUUCCGUUUUGAUCUCAGUGUGUCACGCCGGAUCUUUGACUUUCUCUCACUAUCUAUGUUCCUUCUUCGCUCUCUCUUUCAAACACGUCACGCUGUGGAGAUCAACAGAAUGGGAGUCCCCCCGCCUCCUUCACAGCAUAGCACCACACACAUUAACCCAACCUGGAGAUAUCAAGUGGACCCAGGGGAGAGAGCUGCAAAUGAGGCCUGAAGAUAAAGCUGCAGAUACAAGUUACUGUGGUUUUUUAGUUAGAAUAAUUGGUUUUAUGAAGAUGACGGAUGGCAAACCUCUAAAAUAUGUGGAUAAAGGUCUUCUCGGAGUGUGAGCAACCCACUAAUCCUUCUCUGAGAAAUCAACAUUACAGCACAGCCACAGCAGACACAGAAAAGCCAUAAUCUUUUAUAUACUUUCUUUAACAGCCAGCCUGUAUCUGUAUCUUGGAUCUGUGCAUGUUCCUGGGCCUGUCAGCUGCACUGCAGAGAGAUAGCUCUAGGGAUUCAUCACACUGUAUUGAAACUAAAGGCAACCAUGUGAUAUUUGAUCUUUUUCAUAAUCAAUUCAACUGAGACUUAUCUAACAAGAAUCGUAUCUAUUAUAAGUCCUCAUCAUCCUCAAAUCUGGGAUUUUAAGCCUCUAACAUUCAAACUAGACACUGAAAAAUAUCACUACCACAUUUAGGCCAACUCUCAGUUUUCUCUCAGGAAAUAUUUCUGAGAUCAGAUAUGUCCUAUCAUUUGAUAGAAUACACUACACUACAUGGUGACAUCCUGAGUCCAUUUCCAUAUACAUCAAAUACUGUGUUGUACAAUAGACCCAUUGACCAUGCAUGUCCCCAGCGCCAGGAUUAAAACAGAUCUUUGUUCCUAAACAUUUUCCUUUUUUUUGUAUCACUCCCUAACAGGUCUGCUAAUCAUUUAUUUUUCCUCACUUUUUAAACUGGUGAAUUUGCUAUUGUUGCUACUGUUAUUGUCUUAUGUAAAUCAAGGUUAACUUAUAUUAUCUUGUGCCUGUUACUGUCCUUCCUGUUCAAUGUUUUUGUGCUGCAUAAAUAUUUUUUACUUACUCCCCCCACCCCCACCCCAUUCUAAUGCACAGCAUUAUUCCCCCUUAGCUAACACCUGUGUUUGAAAUCAUAAUUCUUUGAAAACAAUUGUCCACUCCACCCACUGUUUUUGUGACCUCAAUGUAAUCACCUACACUGAUUCUCACCUUUUGACUAUACAGUCAGUGUGAGGACAACACACUGCAGUGUGUUCCUUUUCCUUGGCUUCUAUCUGGUUAUGUUUGCCAUGAGGGAGACACUAAGUCAAAUCACAGCUGUUGAGCUGUGGAUCAGCCAUACUAUAUGUGAGGUCUUUCCCCUGGGCCUCACCAUCACCAAAAAUAGUUCAACAACAGAGAGGGGAAACUACCCAUGAUGCAUUUCCUAGUAGGGAUGCAGAGAUAACUAUGUCACAGGAAUGUCCUGAAUUGUGUACAAAUUGCUUAAGGCAUUGUGUAUAGGGGUGUGAAACCAGAUGCGUAUAGAGUGCUGAUGUGCCAGGUUACAAAAGUCAGAGUAACAAUGUGCAAGUUUUGCACACAAUAAAAACACUUCAAAAUGUACAGAAUAAUUUAACUGUAGGUAAGGGAGAUUCUAGAUUCAGUGCUGAUGAGCCACAGCUGUAACAUGCUAGAGAAGAAAGCGUGACACAUAAUAAACAGCCGAGGAAUUUGCUAUAAUUCCCAUGUGGUUAAAUACAAUGAAAAACAGGAGGAAAGGAUGGAAAGGCUAUUCCACAAGUCAACAAUAACAAGUGUCACACAAUCCAUUGUCCUGUCUCAUCUUCUAAAAUAGCCCACACAGGACAGACCACACAGAAGCCUGAUGACCUCCACAGUUUGAUAAUAAUCAGACUAUCCUCCUGUGCUAAGCCAAGUUUCUCCUGCUGGAACAUUACAAACACCUAAGGUCGACCACUCCCAUCACAAUAAGGAGGAGGUGAUAGAAACUCAGUCCAUGUUAAUGUUUGUUGGGGGUGGAGGUGGUGCAAGAGUUCAAUAAAUCUUGAUGACU